UCAGUUCUUAUGGAUUGUGCUGAUGAUUGAACAUUUUAUCAAUAGUAGGGCUGAAGAAACAAUAUAAAAACGAAAGUAUUAUAAGAGGAAUAUAAAUGUUACUGUUUAUAUUAUUAUAAUACUGCAGUGAUCUUGUGCAGGGAUUGACUAAAGGAAAUGCUGAGAGCGGAUAUCAAGGAUGAGAGAGGGAGAAAGGAUAUAAGAUGAUCAUCAUCAGGUUCAUCAUCAUCUGAAAAUAAAAAUAAAGUAGAAAAAGUAAUAGUUAUCAUCCACUGUAAAUGAUUUCUUUUUACCUCUUCUCUUCAAUACUAAGUGUCUUUUUACAAUAAAAUAAGAUACAAAAAGCAAAGGGUCAAGAAAAAUUGGUUUAUUUCAUUUAGCCGGAAAUAAAAUUAUCUCAUGAAAUCUUCCGAUCUUUAUUUUUUUUCUCUCUUACUCGUCUUCGUUUUCUCAUCUCUUUCCAUUCUUGAUUUAGCACUACGAUGAUGAUAACAUAUCAUUUUCUGAUUCUGUUAUUAUGUUCACUUUUUUUACCACGAAAAAUAUUAGUUUCCUUUAUCAUCUGAGCCAUUUUAUUGUUAAUGUUGUUUACAUACUGCAAAAAAAAGAAACGAAACUUUAUUCAAUAACAUAAUAUAUUUACGAAGAUAUGAGAAUGGAUUGAAUUCUGGAAACUUGAGAUACAGAAGUAGAUUUCAUGGAAACAUCAGGGUGAUAUUAUCAUCAUUAUUAUUAUUCUUUUGAAUGUUUUUCGAUAUUGAGAGAGAAAAUUGUAAGAAAGAUUAAGAUAAGAAUUAUUAUUAGAAUAAAAGAAUUGAAAUUGUAUGAAAAGAUUUAAAGAAAAGAUGAGAGAAAUGUUAUGGAUUUGAUUCAGUUGAUUCGAAUCACUUGAAAUUAUGUUGGAGUAAAAGUUUAUUAAAAAAAAUGAAUUCUAAGGUGAACCAAUUUAAAGUAAUAUGAAGAUAAAGAAAAGUGAGAUCAAUGAAGAUGAAAUUACUUAUUUUCUAUUCCAAGUUUAUUUUAUCUAAUGUAUUAUUCAAUUGGAAAAACAUUUUAUUCGGAUAUGAUUAUUAUUAUUAUUUCUGCUCAUCAACUAUCUGAAAGAUUAGAGUUAUGAUCAUGUCGCAUUCAUUUUUCUCUGGGAGAAAGUUAUGUUUGUGAGUUGAUAGAAUUUUAAAAAGUUCCAAUUGAUUAUCAAAGAAUUGCAAUUCAAUAUGAUCCAUAUUUCAACUGUCACAAAAAGUUGAGUCACGAAGAAAUAGAUUAUUUCUUAUUCUGGAGCAAUUUUUCAUCUUGAACUUUCAAUUUCUUCACCUUGAUUCUUGAAAAUCUUCUUUCCUUUAUUACCUGAAUAUCCUCUUUGGCCUCUUAACUUUUACCUUAAUCAUCAUCAUCUUAUAUUUCAAUUUGAUUUUGCUUCUCUUUCAAUUAUUUUCUGCUGAUACCAACAAGUAUUUUAUUCAUAUUGAUGAUCUAUUCAACUUUUUGCCUUCUUAUCAUUAUCUUCUCAAUGAAUUUCAGCUUCCAUAUUAGUAAUACAACGAUUUUCUAUAUGUAUAAAGUUUCCUUUUGUACUUUACCAUCGUAAAUGAAUAAAAAGGAGAAAGAGAAAAAAAAUAUUCAGUUAGAGUAAUUUCGGUGAGAAUGCUCAUGGUAUUUAUCUUAUUUUCUCGUGACAGUUUCAGUCUCAUAAGUAACACUUCGUAUCCAUUACUUUAAUGAUAACUAAUAAUUUGUGUCUUUUUUUAGGCCAUUAAACGUACGUUUCAUUCAUGUAAACAAUUUUCAUGUUCCUUUCAGCCUAAUGGUGUGAUUCACGAUUUAGUUACUUGAUAAUCAAGCGUAACAAGCACCAUUUUUACUGUUAUUCCUUGCUUAUUGAUGGAAAAGCAUCAAAAUUUUAAAACCAAUGAUAAAUAUAUUACAAUAAUAAUAGAAACCAGAUCAAGUUCAAUUUAAACUGCGCAAUUUUUCAAUUCAUUUGUCACCCUUAUUCAUGAUUCACCCUGAUCUGUAGAUGGUGGAGUGACAUCUAUGGUCUAAAAAAAUACCCAAUGAACUUUUUCUUCUGUUACUUCUGUCACAUGGAAAUUGACUUGAGCCAAAAUUCAAUAAGAUAAUUGUGACCUCACUUAUUGAUUGGCAAUAUGACAAAUUAUCUAGUCAAUAAGUAAAUGACAAAAGAUUCCAUUCCUGAUUGUAAUGAUUAUGAUGAUUGAUUUAUUUUGGAAUAUUCUUCAGAUUGAAAUAGUAAUCUCAUGUCAGAGUCUUUAGUGUAUCAAGAGGACGGAACUUGCUUGGAGAAAUAGGCUUUAAGACAGCAAAAUAAUUUAACAAUCUUAUUUUGUUGAUUAAUGAAAAUUUUUUGAAUUUACCUCAAUUAAUGUGUAAUUUAAUGACAGACCCUAAGUUGUAACCUUUGUCAAUUGCUGUUGACAAUUUAGAAAGAGUAACAAUUGCUACAAUUUCUUUAUUAUCCCUUGAAGUUUUUGUUUAGUUCUACUUUCUCGAGAAUGUUAAUAUAAUUAAUCAUUUAUUGUUUUUAAUAUCAUCAACAUCGAAAAUAUACUUGUUUUAUUUAGAUUAUUGCCUCUGAUAAUUUAGAGAAUAUUGAACAAGCAACAUUCUUAAAGGUCACCUUUCAAACGAUGCCAAGGUGAUCCAGCAUCAAAUCUCCAAUAAAAAUGACUGAGGACAAAAAAGGAUUGAAAUCAUUGGUAAAUAUGAUAACUAAAUCUAUUCAAAACAUUCACCAUGAAUUAAAUUCCACCUAUUUUAUAGUCAAUCGCGUAUCGUAAAGCUCAAAAUUCUGGAUCAAGUGGACUCUGACGAUUUUCUGUAUCGAUAAAAACUAUAACUGGAGACCGUUACCGCUUAGAAAAUAUCGAAAAGCACCUUCUUUGUGAAGACAAUAUUGGAACUGUAUUUUCAUCACGAUGAGUAUACAACGAAAGCCAAUCAUCAGCACUGCAAAUGGACGGUGAAUACCACCAAUCAGCAAGAUUUUCGUACAACUUUGGCUUGACGGGUCCAUGUAACAUGGAACAUAAUCGACACCAGAAAUAUGUAAGAGGCAAGAUCUUUGGGCGAUGAAAAAUCGUUAACAUGAAUAUAAGAAUUGGCGGGAGAUGAACGUUUAUAAUCUUCUGGAUGAGCACCCAUUGUAAUUGGUAUAAUUUUACGAUUUAAACCAUUGGAGUAAAAUUUUUCAGUUAUAUAAUCGCGACAAUUUGAAUUCUCAAAGGAAAGAUAAAACUUAUAAUCUUUAUCGAGCAUCUCGAAACAUUCAUCAGCAUUUUUCCUGGAACAUGAAAGUUUACCACACCUAAAGAAUAUAAUGAAACAGAAUAACUGGGUUCAUCAUCUUCAGGUAGAAGAGAUAAUCUUGAGAAAGUAAUCUCGUUUGGAUUAGGGAUUAAAGAACCGUUAACCAUGAACCAAGGCUUAUCUUUUGGAGACCAUGUUAAAAAAUUAAGCUCAGAUGAUGAGUAUUUA